CACAAUGAAAUAUUAUUUGGCCUGCAAAAAGAAAGAACUCCUGCCAUUUGCAACAAUAUGGAUCAACCUGGAAGACAUAUUCACUUAUGUUAAGUGAAAUAAGCAGGCACAAGAAGACAAAUAUUGCACAAUUACACUAUAUGGGGAAAUCUAAAUAACUCAUAGAAGUAGAGAGUAGAAUAAUGACUACCAGAGGCUUGGGGAGAAAAAAAGGGAGAAAAAUGAGUUGUUGGUCAAAGCUUACAAAGUUUUAGUCAGACAGGAGAAAUAAAUUUUUAAAUCUAUUGCACAGCUGGGUGACUGUAGUCAAUAACAAUGUAUUAUUCAUCUCCAAAUAAGUAAGAUGGCAUAUUUCAAAAUAAACAAGAUGCUGAAUUUCAAACAUCUCAACACAAAGAGUUAAGUGAGAUGAUGAAUAUGUUAACUUCAUUUUAUCAUUCCACCUUGUACACAUAUUACAUGAAUGUAUACAGCUGUGAUUUGUCAAUUUUUUAAAAAUUUAAAAGAGAAAGAGUCAUGGAAUUAGAGUAAGAAAAACCAAAAGAAGAAGGAUAAAUCAAAGAGAGUGAAGAAAGAGGAAGAGAAAGAAGAGAAAACAGAGAAAGGGAGAAACAGAUUAAGGGAGAGAAAGUGAAUACAGCGAGGAAGAAAAUUUUACAUAUAUACAUACACUCAUAUACAUUAAUUUAUGCAUACUAGUUGGCUAUAUAUAUAUUUGUGCAUUCUUUUCUAUACGUAGAAGAUUGGAAGAUGAAGCUGAGAAAACAUCUCAGCAUGCACAAUUAAAAAAAAAAUGAAUGAAAAUAGAAGAAACUUAAGAUUAUGAGAGCAACCCAUGAAGUCCAACAUCUGAAAAAUGAGAGUUACAGAAGAAAAAAUGGACAAAAGAGACAUGGAGAUCAAAUUAUCAAAGCAAUUAUACAUUUUCCCAUAAUUGAAUGACAUGACUUUGCAGGUUAAAAGGCUCACCAACUGUCUGUUAUGAUAAUUAAAAUAUGACUCCACAACCAGUAAUGGAUUAAAUAUAUCCCUAAAUCUUCUAGUGAGAUAAAAGAGGUCAAAUACAAAGGAAAUAGGCUUUGAACUCCUUUACAGCAAGUUUGGAAAUAAGAAAACAAGGAAUGAAUGUUUGCAAAAUUUUAACAACUAAUCGUCUCCAACUUUGAAUUCUAUACACAGCCAUUGGACCAAACAAGGGGACAAAAUGGCAGCAGCCAGCCUGACCAUUCCCUUCCCAUCAUGAGGGAGAGGGCUGUGGUAUGGACAGCAGCAGCUGACUGGCCACAGGUGCAGCCACUGCCAUCCAGCCCCGACUCAUUCCUAGAAUAAGAACCACCAGACUGCCCUCUGACACCUGCCUCAGCGGUCCCCACCACUCCUCAAACCCUGUCACCGUCCACAGACAAGCCCUGGAGGGGUGGGGAAAAGUCUGCAAUUCUCCUUAAAAAGGAUUUCUGUCACAUGGCAAAAUGUUUUGUCAGAUAUCAGUUCUGGCCGUUGGUGACAGAGUCAUGGAAUAUAAAAAGACAUCGAGAAGAAAUAUGUGUGAUCUGGAAUCGUGACCUUACAAGUGCAUCUGCAACGUUGGCUGUGUUUGAGCAAGUGAAUCUAUAUGACUAGAAUUUUUUAAUUGAUACAUGACAUUUGUACAUAUUUAUGGGGUACCUGUGAUAUUUUGUUACAUGCAUAGAAUGUUGAAUAACCAAGUCAUGGUAUUCUGGGUAUGCAUCGCCUAGAGUAUUUACCGUUUCUAUGUGUUGGGGACAUUUCAAGUCCUCUCUCCUAGCUAUUUUGAAAUAUACAAUGCAUUGUUGUUAACUAUAGUCACACUAUUCUGCUGUCAAACAUCAGAACAUUUCUUCUAUCUAACUGUAUGUUUGUACCUAUUAACCAACCUUUCUCUUCAUCUUCCCUCAACCCACAUACCCUUGUUAGCCUCAGCUAUCUACUAUUCUAAUACCUACUUCCGUGAGAUCAACUGUUUUAGUUCCCACAAACAAGUGAGAACAUGCAGUAUUUCUCUUUCUAUGCCUGGCUUAUUUCACUUAAUAUAAUGACCUCUAG